UACGAUCGAAUAUCACACACU
rnacentral:piRNA from 1 species